rnacentral:tRNA from 1 species
GGAGAUGUGCCGGAGCGGUUGAACGGGCCGGUCUUGAAAACCGGUAUGGCAUCAAAGUCAUCGGGGGUUCGAAUCCCUCCAUCUCCG